rnacentral:rRNA from 1 species
CCUACGGGGGGCAGCCGUGGGGAAUAUUGGACAAUGGGGGGAACCCUGAUCCAGCCAUGCCGCGUGUGUGAAGAAGGCCCUCGGGUUGUAAAGCACUUUCAGUGAGGAAGAACGCCUGGUGGUUAAUACCCAUCAGGAAAGACAUCACUCACAGAAGAAGCACCGGCUAACUCCGUGCCAGCAGCCGCGGUAAUACGGAGGGUGCGAGCGUUAAUCGGAAUUACUGGGCGUAAAGCGCGCGUAGGUGGCUUGAUAAGCCGGUUGUGAAAGCCCCGGGCUCAACCUGGGAACGGCAUCCGGAACUGUCAAGCUAGAGUGCAGGAGAGGAAGGUAGAAUUCCCGGUGUAGCGGUGAAAUGCGUAGAGAUCGGGAGGAAUACCAGUGGCGAAGGCGGCCUUCUGGACUGACACUGACACUGAGGUGCGAAAGCGUGGGUAGCAAACAGGAUUAGAUACCCUUGUAGUC